rnacentral:rRNA from 1 species
UGGGGAAUAUUGCACAAUGGGCGAAAGCCUGAUGCAGCAACGCCGCGUGAGUGAUGAAGGCCUUCGGGUUGUAAAGCUCUGUCUUUUGGGACGAUAAUGACGGUACCAAAGGAGGAAGCCACGGCUAACUACGUGCCAGCAGCCGCGGUAAUACGUAGGUGGCAAGCGUUGUCCGGAUUUACUGGGCGUAAAGGAUGCGUAGGCGGAUUUUUAAGUGAGAUGUGAAAAUACCCGGUCAGUAUACUUGGGGGACUGCAUUUCAUACUGGAAAAUCUAGAGUGCGGGAGAGGAGAAUGGAAUUCCUAGUGUAGCGGUGAAAUGCGUAGAGAUUAGGAAGAACACCAGUGGCGAAGGCGAUUCUCUGGACCGUAACUGACGCUGAGGCAUGAAAGCGUGGGUAGCAAACAGGAUUAGAUACCCUGGUAGUCCACGCCGUAAACGAUGAGUACUAGGUGUAGGAGGUAUCGACCCCUUCUGUGCCGCAGUUAAACACAAUAAGUACUCCGCCUGGGAAGUACGAUCGCAAGAUUAAAAACUCAAAGGAAUUGAC